AUGGGCCGCAACUCCUCCACAUCUCCGCCCAUCCAUGACGACAAUGGCGCUGCCGCCGCUAACGAUCUCGGCCUCCACUCGAUUCGCGAUCGCUUCCCCUUCAAACGCAACCCUAACCCUAGCUCCUACCCCAACCACCGCUCCCGCGGCUUGCCCGAUCGCGGCCCUCCGUCGCGCCACAGACCGCAUCACCGGUUCUACCGCAAGGGAUUCUUCAAAGGAAAGUCGGUGUUCUACUCCGUCCUCAUCUUCGUCAUCUUCACGUUUGCGGUGGCGACAAUGGUGUUGCAGAGCUCGAUGACUUUGGUGUUCCGGCAAGGGAGUGAGAGAGAGCGGUUGUUGAGGGAAGGGUUGAAGUUUGGGAGCACGUUGAGGUUUGUGCCCGGGAGGUUUGGCCUGGCCGGUGGGCUCGAUGAGGCUCGGAAGGUGCCCAGGGUUGGUGUCCGGCCGCCGCGGCUAGCUAUUAUCUUGGGAAACAUGAAGAAGGAUCCACAUUCCUUGAUGUUGAUUACUGUGAUGAAGAACAUCAAGAUAUUGGGUUAUAGGUUGAAGAUUUUUUCCAUGGCGAAUGGUAAAGCACGUAGAAUGUGGGAGGCACAUGGUGGCCCAAUAUCCAUCUUAGCUCUGCAGAAAUACAGCCUUAUUGAUUGGUCAAUCUUCGAAGGCGUUAUUGUUGACUCCCUUGAAGCAAAAGAAUGCAUUUCAAGCCUUAUGCAGGAGCCUUUUUGUUCAGUACCACUUAUAUGGAUAAUUCAAGAAGAUACACUUGCUAAGCGUCUGCCAUUGUAUGAGGAAACGGGCCGGAAGCAUCUUGUUUCUCAUUGGAAAACUGUUUUUAGCAGAGCAAAUGUUGUGGUGUUUCCAGAUUUCACUUUGCCGAUGCUAUACAGUGUUCUUGACACUGGAAACUAUUUCGUCAUUCCUGGAUCUCCAGUUGAUGUUUGGGCUGCAGCCCACUACAGUAAAACCCACUCCAAGAAUCAAUUGAGGAAGAACAACGGUUUCAGUGAAGAUGAUAUGUUGGUUGUAGUAGUUGGAAGUUCUUUUUUCUUCAAUGAGCUUUCAUGGGACUAUGCAUUAGCUAUGCAUUCUAUAGGACCAUUAUUGAUGGAAUAUGCAAGGAAAGACGCAGAAGGGUUGUAUAAAUUUGUUUUUUAUGUGGUAAUUCAUCCAAUGGAUAUGAUGAUGCUUUCCAGGAAGUUGCUUCACGUCUAGGACUUCAUCAAGGUUCUUUGAGGCAUUACGGUUUGAAUGGUGACGUCAAUAGUGUGUUAUCAAUGGCGGAUAUUGUUCUUUAUGGUUCUGCACAAGAUGAACAAGGGUUUCCUCCAUUGCUCAUUCGUGCCAUGACUUUUGGAAUCCCAGUUAUUGCACCUGAUUAUCCUGUCUUGAAGAAAUAUGUAGUUGAUGGAGUUCACAUGAUACUUUUUCAAAGACAUGAUCCUGAUGCUUUACUGAAGGCAUUCUCACUUAUGAUUUCAAACGAGAAACUUUCUAAAUUUGCUCAAACAGUUGCUUCCUCUGGAAGACUGAUUGCCAUGAACCUGCUUGCAUCAGAAUCCAUAACUGGUUAUGCAAGGCUUCUGGAGAGUGUACUAAAGUUUCCAUCAGAUGCUUUGCUGCCUGGUCCGUUAUCCCAGCUUCAACAGGGCACAUGGGAGUGGAAUUUGUUUGGGAGUGAAAUAGAUUCUGGUACUGGCGAUAUGCUAAACAUUAAUGAGAAUCAGGCAUCUCUUGAAAACUCUUCUGUUGUUCAUGCUCUUGAAGAAGAGUUUUCUGGAUUUUCUUACUCAACAAAAAUCUCCGAGAAUGGAACUGAGAUUUUCGCACACGAUAUUCCAACUCAACUAGAUUGGGACAUCUUGAGGGAAAUUGAACUUUCUGAAGAAUAUGAGAGGGUGGAAAUGGAGGAGCUAGCAGAAAGAAUGGAGCGCGAUCCUGGUCAAUGGGAUGACAUAUAUCGUAAUGCCCGAAAAGCUGAAAAGCUUAGGUUUGAAGCAAAUGAGAGGGAUGAAGGAGAACUUGAGAGGACGGGCCAGCCAGUGUGCAUUUAUGAGAUAUACAUUGGAUCUGGGACCUGGCCAUUCUUGCACCAUGGUUCGUUGUACCGUGGGCUAAGUCUUUCUACAAAAGCGCGAAGAUCAAAAUCAGAUGAUGUGGAUGCCGUUGGCCGGCUUCCGGUAUUGAAUGAAACGUACUAUCGUAAUGUUCUCUGUGAGAUUGGAGGAAUGUUCGCUAUCGCAAACAAGGUGGACAAUGUUCAUAAACGACCUUGGAUUGGGUUUCAAUCUUGGCGUGCUGCUAGUCAGAAGGUAUCUUUGUCAAAGAAAGCUGAAAAAGUUUUGGACGAAGUAAUUCAAGACAACACAAAAGGAGAUGUAAUAUACUUCUGGUCACGCUUGAACAUGAAUGGUGGGGUGACAGGAAGCAAAGAUGCACUCACUUUUUGGUCUGCGUGUGACAUCUUGAACGAGGGGCAUUGCAGAAAAGUUUUUGAAGAUGCAUUUCGUCAGAUGUAUGUCUUGCCAUCUAGUGCUGAAGCUCUUCCUCCCAUGCCAGAGGAUGGUGGUCACUGGUCUGCCUUGCAUAGCUGGGUGAUGCCAACUCGCUCCUUCCUUGAGUUUGUGAUGUUUUCUCGGAUGUUUGUUGAAUCUGUUGAUGCAUUGCACACCAACUCUACCAACAGAAGUAUCUGCCUGUUGGGUUCGUCGGAACCUGAGCAAAGGCAUUGUUAUUGUCGGGUAUUAGAACUUCUUGUCAAUGUCUGGGCCUAUCAUAGUGCACGAAAGAUGGUUUACAUAGAUCCACUCUCUGGUUCACUGGAAGAGCAGCACCCUGUUGAGCAACGCAAAGGAUUCUUGUGGGCAAAAUAUUUCAAUAGUACAUUACUGAAGAGUAUGGAUGAAGAUUUAGCAGAAGCAGCAGAUGAUGGUGACCAUCCGAGGGAGAUGUGGUUGUGGCCAUUAACUGGGGAAGUGCAUUGGCAAGGAAUUUAUGAAAGGGAGAGGGAAGAAAGAUAUAGGCUAAAGAUGGACAAGAAAAGGAAAACGAAAGAGAAAUUACUUGAAAGAUUGAAGAAUGGAUACAGGCAGAAGACACUUGGGGGAUAGAAGUCUAGCAUGCGAUUCUAAUACUCUAAUUCCAUUUUCAACUCACUCCAGUUACCAGACAUCUACUGAUCUUGUCAUUUCUCAACUUGGGGAGUGGGAAAAGAUUCUUGAGCACUGAGGCUAAGCUCUAUUCUUUCUGACAGUGACAGAAUGGUUCGUGAAUAGACGAAUUUUUGUAGGUAUUUUCUCUGACUGAAUAGAUAGACUCAUAGAAGCUGAUGAAAGACAAAGUAGCUUUCAAGCAGUUGCGCUGACCAGCAUACGAAGUUUUUUACUUCUCAUUUGAAGUUGCAAAGAUGAAAGAUGGUACAUUGGUACCAUGUUAUUGAGGAGUGCAGAGGACCAAACAUUCAAUGGAAUUCUUUUUUCACUAGUGAUUCAUAUUGUAUUCUUUUGACAAUGUUCAUAGAAAAUUUUGAUUAAAAUAAAGCAGCUCCCCAACUGUUCUUGUUUUCUAGGUUUGAAUCACGGAACUGCAGAAUCCAAGAUUUUCUUUUCUUCCUUCAUUUGGGACCUCAGGUCUAUGAGGUCUCAGCGAUAAAGGUGUAUUCAUCAGAGAAAUUGCAAGCCAACUUUAGUCUUACAAGCCUAUGAUCUUUCUCUUUUCAGUGACAUUUAAACCACGGU